GAUGAACGCUGGCGGCGUGCCUAAUACAUGCAAGUCGAGCGAACAGACGAGGAGCUUGCUCCUCUGACGUUAGCGGCGGACGGGUGAGUAACACGUGGAUAACCUACCUAUAAGACUGGGAUAACUUCGGGAAACCGGAGCUAAUACCGGAUAAUAUAUUGAACCGCAUGGUUCAAUAGUGAAAGACGGUUUUGCUGUCACUUAUAGAUGGAUCCGCGCCGCAUUAGCUAGUUGGUAAGGUAACGGCUUACCAAGGCAACGAUGCGUAGCCGACCUGAGAGGGUGGGCGCCAAACUGGGAACUGGACCGCGGCCAAGCCGCGUAGGGGAGGCAGAGGAGGGGAAUCUCCCGGAGUGGGAGAAGGCCGGAGGGGACACCGGCGCGGGAGGAAGGAAGGUUUUCGGAUCGAAAAACGUUUUUAAGAGGAAAAAAAAAAGGUGUAAGAAAAACGGCGCUUCUGGAGGGUCCCUAAUCAGAAGGCCAGGGAUAACUAGGAG
rnacentral:rRNA from 1 species